ACUGUCAUGUUCUGUCUGUUUUGAUUGUUUCAACUCCAGCUGGUGUGAAGGGGGUUUCCCUCCAACAGGGGCACCUCUUCUGCGUUUAGCAAUUGUCCGGGAUUAACACGGAUGUCAGAUGGAAAAUGUGUGGUGCGCCCUCAACCUUUUGGAACUGCGCAUCGAUCACCGAAGAAGACCACCAACAUAGAAAACAGACAAAUGCA